rnacentral:lncRNA from 1 species
UUUUUUUUUUUUAGAUGGAGUCUCGCUCUGUUGCCCAGGCUGGAGUGCAGUGGCGCAGUCUUGGCUUGCUGCAAACUCCACCUCCUGGGUUCAAGUGAUUCUCCUGCCUCAGCCACCUGAGUAACAGGCAACUGCCACCAUGCUUGGCUAAUUUUUUGUGUUUUUAGUAGAGAUGGGGUUUCACCAUGUUGGCCAGGGUGGUCUCAAACUCCUGACCUCAUGAUCCACCCGCCUCAGCUUCUCAACGCACUGGGAUUACAGGCAUGAGCCACUGCACCAGGCCUGUAAAAUAAAUUUUUAAAAAUCACUUGUGAUUUUCUGCACUGCAGCCUGUCUAAUAGAGCCUUAAUAACUGGGGAGUAAGUGACUUCAGCACAUCUCCUAAAUGUGACAGGAACCAGGAACACAUCUGACCUUAUGCACGUUAAUACUGCCUCUUUUUAAGCAUUUUUUCAACACUUAUAUUCUGGGACUAAAAAAAUCAAGAUGUGCUCCUCUACUAAAAUCUCCACCAUCCAAUUGGAAUUGCAGUCUAGAAAAUCUAAGGAAAAGUGAGGGCCAUAUUCUGAAGAACAACUAGGUCUCAGCAGUUACAUACUCUUCACCAAAAUACUGUUUGAUCCUCAUCCUGAGAGCAUAUUUUUAAAAAUCUCCAGAGCUCACCACUCAUUAAUAACCCAACAGUUUUACCAAGACUGUGGGUUACAGCAAAGAUGCCUCUGCUGUGUCCUUGCUCUCUGCAAGCUUUUUACCAGGUGCUGGGCUGGAGACUUGCUGGGUGCCAGACCACAGGGAUCUGGUCAUAGCUGAAUGUGAAGAUGGCUGGCUGUUCUUUCAGAAGGAACCUGGCUGGAGUUCCUAUUGCUCAAAGCUCCAGCUUGCAGCAUUGGGCUAGAGCUGAUGGAAGGAGAGCUGUUACCAUUCUGUUCCACAUGAAUGCUACAUUGUGAAAGAAAGAUCUGACUUGGGCAACAAGGUAGUGUUCAAGGCGUCUCAGAGGGCCUAACCAGAACUCACCAGCUGUAGCGUAGAACUCCCUCAAGUGCAGAUGCUGGACCUCUGCAGCAGAAAUUUCUCAAGCUGUUUAGUAUAACAGAAAUGAAAAUUCCCCAUCCCAUCCUUAACCUAUUAUCCUCAGAUAGCUCAGGGCAGGGGAAGGGAGUAGACAGAAACCCGAUUUUAAAACCAACUCUAGAAUAACUGAUGUCUGCAAGUUGGAGAACUGAUGUGCAGGACAUGAUCCACAUGCCUCCUCAUAAAACACCCGGAGAGGCAGCUAUUGUGGAUCAAGACUCCUGUCCUUAGUCUUCACCAAGCAGCACAGGCAGUGGAACAGAAGCUUCAGGUUUGUCUUCACUGGUCGAACUGUGACAUCCAGAGGACAGGAAUCAUGUCUGCUCUUCACUGAUGCUCCUCAUUCCCAGGGCCACACGACACAGAAAGUGUCGGCUGUAAGCAGAGCCAGGCUAGUAGCAGCCAGGAAUAGGUCAGCCACCUAGGUAAAUGAUGCCUAGUUGGUCUUCUUGGAGAUCUCAGCCAUCCUCAUAACCUUUCAAGAACUCAUUCAUGUGAAAAACUGCAGAACGUCCUGCUUACCUGCAAUUACUAAAUCCAGUGAGGUUCCGAUGCCCCCAGUCUAGAAUUGUACCUUCCCCCUAAAUCCUGCUGGGAGUCUCAGGAGAGGGUGUGAUAUGCCUAAGGUACUCUCUGUGAUGUUGUGCAUGGCGAACACUUGUUUCUGGUGACUGUGGUCACACAGGAAUCGUUACCCACUUGACACGACAGGAGAAAACAGGUCAAAGAUUAACUGGCAGCCACAUAGUUCAUAUGUGUGGUAAUGUGGGGGGAAGGGUAGCACGCAGAUAAAUUAUCUGCCCAAGUGCAUGCUGAGUGGAUGCAGAUCACCGGCCCAGCACCUGGGGGCAGGGCUUUAAACCCUGGACUAAAUCCACUCCUUAGGCUCCGGGAUAUCUGCUGGCAGGUGCACUGAGGUUGUACACAGCACGUGUGUUUGAUGAUGCAGUCCAAUUGGGAAGUGGAUAAAGUGUGUUUAUUUUCUUCUGUGUAUGUUUUUGUAAACAGGGAAAAGGAAGCAAAAGACUCCUUCCUUCCGGACCUGGUGUCCACUGAGCUUGGAGUGGGUGGAGCCCCCUAGGAGAAGUUGUAGGAAUAGAAGGCAAUGGGAUUGACUAUCAUGGAUAGUAGUCCAUGACGAAGUGGAGCCCGAUGCACCUGGCCCCUAGGCUGGCCCCACCCAGAGCAGAGGAGUGCCUCAGCUUCAUCAGGGUGAAGCUGCAGAAGAAGUUCUGAACCUGGAUCUCUUUGCCCUGGUUCAGCACCAAAGAAAACCUGGAAGGCUUUCCCCUUCCACCGUGACUGUAAGUUUCCUGAGGCCUCCCCAGCCAUGCUUCCCAUAUAGCCUGCAGAACCACGAGCCAAUUAAACCUCUUUCCUUUAUAAAUUAGCCAGUUUCAGGUGUUUC